AGUGAACGCUGGCGGUAGGCCUAACACAUGCAAGUCGAACGGCAGCACAGUAAGAGCUUGCCCUUACGGGUGGCGAGUGGCGGACGGGUGAGGAAUACAUCGGAAUCUACUUUUUCGUGGGGGAUAACGUAGGGAAACUUACACUAAUACCGCAUACGACCUACGGGUGAAAGCAGGGGAUCUUCGGACCUUGCGCGAUUGAAUGAGCCGAUGUCGGAUUAGCUAGUUGGCGGGGUAAAGGCCCACCAAGGCGACGAUCCGUAGCUGGUCUGAGAGGAUGAUCAGCCACACUGGAACUGAGACACGGUCCAGACUCCUACGGGAGGCAGCAGUGGGGAAUAUUGGACAAUGGGCGCAAGCCUGAUCCAGCCAUACCGCGUGGGUGAAGAAGGCCUUCGGGUUGUAAAGCCCUUUUGUUGGGAAAGAAAAGCAGCAGGUUAAUACCCCGCUGUUCUGACGGUACCCAAAGAAUAAGCACCGGCUAACUUCGUG
rnacentral:rRNA from 1 species